rnacentral:rRNA from 1 species
GACGAACGCUGGCGGCGUGCUUAACACAUGCAAGUCGAACGGAAAGGCCCUGCUUUUGUGGGGUGCUCGAGUGGCGAACGGGUGAGUAACACGUGAGUAACCUGCCCUUGACUUUGGGAUAACUUCAGGAAACUGGGGCUAAUACCGGAUAGGAGCUCCUGCUGCAUGGUGGGGGUUGGAAAGUUUCGGCGGUUGGGGAUGGACUCGCGGCUUAUCAGCUUGUUGGUGGGGUAGUGGCUUACCAAGGCUUUGACGGGUAGCCGGCCUGAGAGGGUGACCGGCCACAUUGGGACUGAGAUACGGCCCAGACUCCUACGGGAGGCAGCAGUGGGGAAUAUUGCACAAUGGGCGGAAGCCUGAUGCAGCAACGCCGCGUGCGGGAUGACGGCCUUCGGGUUGUAAACCGCUUUCGCCUGUGACGAAGCGUGAGUGACGGUAAUGGGUAAAGAAGCACCGGCUAACUACGUGCCAGCAGCCGCGGUGAUACGUAGGGUGCGAGCGUUGUCCGGAUUUAUUGGGCGUAAAGGGCUCGUAGGUGGUUGAUCGCGUCGGAAGUGUAAUCUUGGGGCUUAACCCUGAGCGUGCUUUCGAUACGGGUUGACUUGAGGAAGGUAGGGGAGAAUGGAAUUCCUGGUGGAGCGGUGGAAUGCGCAGAUAUCAGGAGGAACACCAGUGGCGAAGGCGGUUCUCUGGGCCUUUCCUGACGUUGAGGAGCGAAAGCGUGGGGAGCGAACAGGCUUAGAUACCCUGGUAGUCCACGCUGUAAACGGUGGGUACUAGGUGUGGGGUCCAUUCCACGGGUUCCGUGCCGUAGCUAACGCUUUAAGUACCCCGCCUGGGGAGUACGGCCGCAAGGCUAAAACUCAAAGGAAUUGACGGGGCCCCGCACAAGCGGCGGAGCAUGCGGAUUAAUUCGAUGCAACGCGUAGAACCUUACCUGGGUUUGACAUGGAUCGGGAGUGCUCAGAGAUGGGUGUGCCUCUUUUGGGGUCGGUUCACAGGUGGUGCAUGGCUGUCGUCAGCUCGUGUCGUGAGAUGUUGGGUUAAGUCCCGCAACGAGCGCAACCCUUGUUCACUGUUGCCAGCACGUUAUGGUGGGGACUCAGUGGAGACCGCCGGGGUCAACUCGGAGGAAGGUGGGGAUGACGUCAAGUCAUCAUGCCCCUUAUGUCCAGGGCUUCACGCAUGCUACAAUGGCUGGUACAGAGAGUGGCGAGCCUGUGAGGGUGAGCGAAUCUCGGAAAGCCGGUCUCAGUUCGGAUUGGGGUCUGCAACUCGACCUCAUGAAGUCGGAGUCGCUAGUAAUCGCAGAUCAGCAACGCUGCGGUGAAUACGUUCCCGGGACU